AGUGAACGCUGGCGGCAGGCCUAACACAUGCAAGUCGAGCGGCAGCGCGUCCGACCACCCUCGGGUGGUCGGAUGGCGGCGAGCGGCGGACGGGUGAGGAAUGCAUCGGAAUCUGCCUCGUUGUGGGGGAUAACGUAGGGAAACUUACGCUAAUACCGCAUACGACCUACGGGUGAAAGUGGGGGACCUUCGGGCCUCACGCGAUGAGAUGAGCCGAUGCCGGAUUAGCUAGUUGGCGGGGUAAAGGCCCACCAAGGCGACGAUCCGUAGCUGGUCUGAGAGGAUGAUCAGCCACACUGGAACUGAGACACGGUCCAGACUCCUACGGGAGGCAGCAGUGGGGAAUAUUGGACAAUGGGGCAACCCUGAUCCAGCCAUGCCGCGUGUGUGAAGAAGGCCUCGGUUGUAAG
rnacentral:rRNA from 1 species